rnacentral:SRP_RNA from 1 species
UAGGGGUCCCCUGAGGGCGAUUUGAAGUCGCCCGACCGCAAAUCCCCUAACGGCGGGCCGAGAGUCCGCGUCAGGUAUGCUGGCUACCCGCUGCUCCUACGGAACCUCCCCAAGGAAGGUCGGCGCCGUAGGGCUGGCGCUGGCGGUACGCCUCUCGGAGGAGGGGCGGAACCGCCUACGGGCGAACCUGGUUAGGCCCGGGAGGGAGCAGCCUAAGCCCGGGUGUCCAGCGCUUACGGCUCUACCGGCCGGAUGGGGGGAACGUAGCGGGCGCGGGUAAGCUAGCAUAUCGAGCGCGGAUGGUCCACCG